GUGUCCAUUGUCUAAUGGGUUGGACAGAGGCCUUAUGAACCUUUGGUGUAGGUUCAAAUCAUAUCAGACGCA
rfam:Eucalyptus grandis cultivar BRASTZ1 unplaced genomic scaffold scaffold_5, whole genome shotgun sequence.